UUACUCCGACCUCAGAUCGGACGAGAUUACCCGCUGAAUUUAAGCAUAUUACUAAGCGGAGGAAAAGAAACUAACAAGGAUUCCCUCAGUAACGGCGAGUGAAGCGGGAUGAGCCCAGCACCGAAUCCCCCGGCCUGUCGUCGGCGGGAAAUGUGGUGUAUGGGACGCCAACUGCCGUCCGCGCUGGUGUCCGAAGUCCUCCUGAUCGGGGCCUCUCCCAGAGUGGGUGUCAGGCCUUUACUGGUCACCGGCCGGUCGGCUGCGAGCGUCUCA
rnacentral:rRNA from 1 species